CUGUAGCUCAGUGGUAUGGCUUCUGCCUGCCAUGCAGAAGACCUAGGCUUCAGUCCCUAUAAUCCCCAGAAAGG